rnacentral:rRNA from 2 species
CAGGGGGAUAACACAUGGAAACGUGUGCUAAUACCGUAUAAGACCACAGUGCCGCAUGGCACAGGGGUCAAAGGAGCAAUCCGGUAUAAGGGGGGUUCGCGUCCCAUUAGCUAGUUGGUGGAGUAACGGUUCACCAAGGCAACGAUGGGUAUCCGAGCUGAGAGGCUGAACGGACACACUGGGACUGAGAUACGGCCCAGACUCCUACGGGAGGCAGCAGGGAGGAAUAUUGGUCAAUGGGGGAAACCCUGAACCAGCAACGCCGCGUGAAGGAAGAAGGCCCUCGGGUUGUAAACUUCUGUUUUCAGGGACGAAGAAAGUGACGGUACCUGAAGAGAAAGCUCCGGCAAACUACGUGCCAGCAGCCGCGGUAAUACGUAGGGAGCGAGCGUUGUCCGGAAUCACUGGGCGUAAAGGGCGCGUAGGCGGUUUUACAAGUUGCAUGUGAAAGACCAUGGCUUAACCAUGGGGUGUCAUGCAAAACUGUAGGGCUUGAGUGCAGUAGAGGAAAGCGGAAUUCCUGGUGUAGCGGUAAAAUGCGUAGAGAUCAGGAGGAACACCGGUGGCGAAGGCGGCUUUCUGGGCUGUAACUGACGCUGAGGCGCGAAAGCGUGGGGAGCGAACAGGAUUAGAUACCCUGGUAGUCCACGCCGUAAACGAUGAAUAUUAGGUGUAGGCCUUUAAGGUCUGUGCCGGAGCAAACGCAAUAAAUAUUCCGCCUGGGGGAGUACGGCCGCAAGGUUGAAACUCCAAAAGAAUUGACGGA